GCCCGUCGCUCCUACCGAUUGAAUGGUCCGGUGAAGUGUUUGGAUCGUGACGACGGGGGCAGUUCGCCACCCCGACGUCGCGAGAAGUCCAUUGAACCUUAUCAUUUAGAGGAAGGAGAAGUCGUAACAAGGUUUCCGUAGGUGAACCUGCGGAAGGAUCAUUG
rnacentral:ncRNA from 1 species